rnacentral:rRNA from 1 species
UACGUAGGGUGCUAGCGUUGUCCGGAUUUAUUGGGCGUAAAGGGCUCGUAGGCGGCGUGUCGCGUCGGGGAGUGAAAGCCCGCUGCUUAACGGCGGGUUGGCUUCCGGUACGGGCAUCGCUGGAGUGCGGCAGGGGAGACUGGAAUUCCUGGUGUAGCGGUGGAAUGCGCAGAUAUCAGGAGGAACACCGGUGGCGAAGGCGGGUCUCUGGGCCGUUACUGACGCUGAGGAGCGAAAGCGUGGGGAGCGAACAGG